CCCGGCCGGGGCCGCACUCCAGCUGUACUGUCGCGCCAUGCUCCAGCAGCGCCUGUGCGCACCUGCGGGCAGGCCAAACCGGUCACCACCGUGCAUGACCAGCUGCGACCCGCCACCCACGGCGCACCGGGCACCAUAGUGCCGUCUUUUGAGAGGUCUGGAAGAAGAAAGUCUGACAAAACAGUGGCCAAGUUCCUGGCUCCCAGCAAUGAUGAGGGAGAAGGUGAGCCGAGAACACGGAAGUACUGACAGGCCUGGGGAGCUUGAUGCUAUUGGCUUUCCUAGGGUGCUGCAUCCCACAACUGCCAAAGGCUGAUUAAUCUUUAAAAGGGCCAGAAGAACCCCAUAACUUUGGGCUGAUGGGGAGUAGCGGACCCCAGCAAGAUCCAAGUACGAAGUGGAGUGAUUUUAUGUCAUCAUCACUACAGAGAAAGCAGCCAAGCAAUAAUAACGCCAAGAGCAGGGACUAGAACAUUCGAAAAGAUGUUGGGACGACACAAUGCUGGCAGGAAAACCCAAAGCAGCUCCAACCAAGGUCGCGAGUGGGGGUUGGAGGGCUUUACUCUGCUCGGCCCCAGGCAGAGCAACCCGGGCGGGUGGAGUCCUUGCGGGCCUCGGAAGCCCCCGCCCGAGGAGCUAACCAUUUAUGUCACACUGUGACAAUUAUUCUGCAUAAAAUUAUCAUUAAAAACCCUAAUUUUUCAGCUUCCAACGCC